rnacentral:rRNA from 1 species
ACUCAAAUGAAUUGACGGGGGCCCGCACAAGCAGCGGAGCGUGUGGUUUAAUUCGAGGCUACCCGAAGAACCUUACCUGGAUUGGACAGGCACGUAGUAGGGAAGCGAAAGCGGACCGACCUUCGGGAGCGUGCUCAGGUGCUGCAUGGCUGUCGUCAGCUCGUGUCGUGAGAUGUACGGUUAAGUCCGCAAACGAGCGCAACCCUCGCCGCCAGUUACAGGUGUCUGGCGGGACUGCCCGCGGGAAGCGGGAGGAAGGUGGGGAUGACGUCAAGUCCGCAUGGCCUUGAUAUCCAGGGCGACACACACGCUACAAUGGACGGCACAAUGGGCGGCCAAGCGGCGACGCGGAGCCAAUCCCGAAAGCCGUUCGCAGUUCGGAUUGCAGGCUGCAACCCGCCUGCAUGAAGGUGGAGUUGCUAGUAACCGCGGGUCAGCUAAACUGCGGUGAAUACGUUCCCGGGCCUUGUACACACCGCCCGU